GCAGGUGAGGCACACAGACGAAGAGCCCCAGCCGCGUGGGGGUGGGGGUUGGUCAAAGGGACCCGGGACCCCGGGAAUGGGGCUGGUUUGCAGGUCAGUGCAUGGACAUCUUCCCAGAAAGUGACACGGCGAAGUUGGACCAUCUGGAAAGCGGAGCUCAACGGUGCUGACUACCUAGGAGCACCGAGGCCGAGGACAGCUCUCCGACAACCACGGAAGGAAAUAGCUAUCUAUUUCAGCACCGGACUCCGGACAGCACCCCUCGGGGUCUCGGCCCCCGCGCUCCAGACGGCUCCAGGCGGGUCCUCGAGCCGAGGCCGUUUCAGCACCCGGACCGCGGACAGCUCCUCCAGUAAGGUUGUGAGAUGACCCUUGCCCCCGCAAGGGGGAAGAGAGAGUGGACUUAGGUGUCUGAAGCUUCUGUAGACUUGCCUCUCAUUUAAUGGAAUUUUCAACGAAUUAUUUUCCAGAUAAGCAGGAUCCAUCCACGUUGUAGCAGGUGUCAGAACCUCACUCCUUUUGAUGGCCGAGUAAUAUUCCAGUGCACGGCUGGAUCACAUUUCGUUUACCCUCUCAUCGG